rnacentral:misc_RNA from 1 species
GAUGAAAACGCAGCGAAAUGCGAUAAGUAAUGUGAAUUGCAGAAUUCAGUGAAUCAUCGAAUCUUUGAACGCAUCUUGCGCUCCUUGGUAUUCUGAGGAGCAUGCCUGUUUGAGUGUCAUUAAAUUCUCAACUACACUGACUUUGAAUUGGUGUGGCUUGGAUUUGGGGGGAAAAUUGUUGUGGGCUUUUUGUAUAGUCUGCUCCCUUGAAAUUGAUUAGCGGUACCUUUGUGGAACUGUCUACAGGUGUGAUAAUUAUCUACAUCUUAGACAUCUGCUGGAAUGCUGCUUUCUAAACCUUACUUGUAUUGACAAUCUUGACCUCAAAUCAGGUAGGACUACCCGCUGAACUUAAGCAUAUCAAUAAGCGGAGGA